rnacentral:rRNA from 1 species
AUAACCGGUACGGGCUUUGAAAGAAGUUGCCCGGAGAUGGACACUGAGAUAAGGGUCUAGGCCCUACGGGGCGCAGCAGGCGCGAAAACUUCGCAAUGCGCGAAAGCGUGACGAGGCUAUUCCGAGUGCUAUCCUUUUUUGGAUGGCUUUUGCUAGGUGUAGAUAGCCUAGAGAAUAAGGGGGGGGCAAGUCUGGUGUCAGCCGCCGCGGUAAUACCAGCUCCUCGAGUGGUUAGGACGUUUAUUGGGCCUAAAGCAUCCGUAGCCGGUUUUAUUGGUCUUCUAUUAAAUCUAAUAGCUUAACUAUUUGACUGUAGGGGAUACCAUAAGACUAGGAGGCGGGAGAGGCGGACGGUAUUUUGUGGGUAGGGGUAAAAUCCUUUGAUCCAUAGAGGACCACCAGUGGCGAAGGCUGCUGACUUGAACACGCCUGACGGUGAGGGACGAAAGCUGGGGUAGCGAAUCGGAUUAGAUACCCGAGUAGUCCUAGCUGUAAACUCUGCGAGCUAGGUGUUACGUAUUCUUCGGGAAUACGUAGUGUCGAAGCGAAGGUGUUAAGCUCGCCGCCUGGGAAUUAUGGUCGCAAGACUGAAACUUAAAGGAAUUGGCGGGGGAGCAC